AUCGCAUCUCAGCCUUUUGGCUAAGACCAAAUAUAGUAU
rnacentral:snRNA from 1 species